UUGCAACCCGUACUUGACUCCCUGGCAAAGCAACUGCGAGGAUGGAAAGCAAAAUUGAUCGCCCUGCCUGUCAGAAUUGAGUUAGUGCGGACUGCUUUGUCAGCCAUGGCCAUCUAUAGAGUCAUGGCCCUUGCUCCGCCAAAGUGGUUUCUCAAGAUGGUGGAUAGGCUGCGUCCAGGAUUCAUGUGGGCGGCAGACGAGACUUCUCCGGCUGGCAGGUGCCUUGUGCGCUGGCGAGACGUCUGCAAACUGAGGGCUUUCGGUGGCUUGGGGAUCAGCGAGCUGCAGCUGCAUGGAGCGGCCCUUCGAGCGCGCUGGCACUGGAGGACCUGGACUGACGAUGGUAGGCCAUGGCGUGAGCUCACCCUACCCACUGACCCCAUGGCCGAGUGUGUUUUCAGAGCCUCCACGGCGAUCGAUGUUGGCGACGGCUCCAGGGCUAACUUCUGGCGCUCCCACUAG
rnacentral:rRNA from 1 species